UGGGGAAUUUUCCGCAAUGGGCGAAAGCCUGACGGAGCAACGCCGCGUGAGGGAUGAAGGCCUCUGGGCUGUAAACCUCUUUUAUCAAGGAAGAAGAUCUGACGGUACUUGAUGAAUAAGCCACGGCUAAUUCCGUGCCAGCAGCCGCGGUAAUACGGGAGUGGCAAGCGUUAUCCGGAAUUAUUGGGCGUAAAGCGUCCGCAGGCGGUCUGUCAAGUCUGCUGUUAAAGCGUGGAGCUUAACUCCAUUUCGGCAGUGGAAACUGACAGACUAGAGUGUGGUAGGGGCAGAGGGAAUUCCCGGUGUAGCGGUGAAAUGCGUAGAUAUCGGGAAGAACACCAGUGGCGAAGGCGCUCUGCUGGGCCAUAACUGACGCUCAUGGACGAAAGCCAGGGGAGCGAAAGGG
rnacentral:rRNA from 2 species